rnacentral:rRNA from 1 species
ACGUAGGUGGCGAGCGUUAUCCGGAUUUAUUGGGCGUAAAGGGCACGCAGGCGGUUUAGUAAGUUUGGCGUGAAAUCUCCCGGCUUAACCGGGAGUGGUCGCUGAAAACUGCUGAACUUGAGGUGAUGAGAGGAGUGCAGAAUUCCCGGUGUAGUGGUGGAAUGCGUAGAUAUCGGGAGGAAUACCAGUGGCGAAAGCGGCACUCUGGCAUUAACCUGACGCUGAGGUGCGAAAGCGUGGGUAGCGAACGGG